rnacentral:rRNA from 1 species
UUGACGGGGCCGCACAAGCGGUGGAGCAUGUGGUUUAAUUCGAAGACAACGCGAAGAACCUUACCAGGUCUUGACAUCCCGAUGCUAUUCUAGAGAUAGAAAGUUACUUCGGUACAUCGGUGACAGGUGGUGCAUGGUUGUCGUCAGCUCGUGUCGUGAGAUGUUGGGUUAAGUCCCGCAACGAGCGCAACCCCUAUUGUUAGUUGCCAUCAUUCAGUUGGGCACUCUAGCGAGACUGCCGGUAAUAAACCGGAGGAAGGUGGGGAUGACGUCAAAUCAUCAUGCCCCUUAUGACCUGGGCUACACACGUGCUACAAUGGUUGGUACAACGAGUUGCGAGUCGGUGACGGCGAGCUAAUCUCUUAAAGCCAAUCUCAGUUCGGAUUGUAGGCUGCAACUCGCCUACAUGAAGUCGGAAUCGCUAGUAAUCGCGGAUCAGCACGCCGCGGUGAAUACGUUCCCGGGCCUU